rnacentral:lncRNA from 1 species
CUGAGAUUUUCAUGCAUGACUGAUAAAUGUGCAGGCCUACACUAUAUAUUAGUUGAUGAAAAGGUCAGUAAUCAAUCUUUAAUAAUGUUGACUAAUAAGCUCCUAAAAACAAGUGUUAACAAUUUUUUAUUUGUUUUAAUGCACAUCGCAUGACAUUUCUACUCUCUAAGAUAAACACAAUGUGCAAUUCAUUUCUAAUGUUUGUAUUCUUUGAUUUUCUAUCACAAAAUAAGUUAUUAGUUACCAUGCUUGCUCUAUGUACUAAGAGAUUUUUUUUGGUACAUAUCCAUUCUCUUUAACCUGUUAAUUACACUAAUAAAUUGACUCUCAGUAUUCACUAUCUAUCUUAUUCUCUAAUAUUUGUGAUUUACAUUUAUUUUCAUAUUAUUCUAUCAAAUGUAUACUCUAAAUAAGAUUACAAAGGUUGUUUUAGCCUUUUCAGAUCAUUUUUUUGCAUGUUACUUGAGGUCCAAAUCCUCUUGAUCGAUUGCAGCCAUAUGAAAAAAAUGUAAAAAUUAAAUACGUGUCUGCAGAAUAUGGAGACUGAGAUUUCAUGCAUGACUAAAUGUGCAGGCCUACACUAUAUAUUAGUUGAUGAAAAGGUCAGUAAUCAAUCUUUAAUAAAUGUUUGACUAAUAAAGCUCCUAAAAACAAGUGUUAACAAUUUUUUAUUUGUUUUAAUGCACAUCGCAUGACAUUUCUACUCUCUAAGAUAAACACAAUGUGCAAUUCAUUUCUAAUGUUUGUAUUCUUUGAUUUUCUAUCACAAAAUAAGUUAUUAGUUACCAUGCUUGCUCUAUGUACUAAGAGAUUUUUUGGUACAUAUCCAUUCUCUUUAACCUGUUAAUUACACUAAUAAAUUGACU